rnacentral:tRNA from 1 species
GGGCCGUUAGCUCAGUGGUAGAGCAGGUGGCUUUUAACCACCGUGUCGUAAGUUCGAUCCUCACACGGCCCACCA